rnacentral:misc_RNA from 1 species
GUAGGUGAACCUGCGGAAGGAUCAUUAUCGUUGGGCUUCGGCCCAUUCGAGAUAACACCCUUGCCUUUUUGAGUACCUUUUCGUUUCCUCGGCAGGCUCGCCUGCCAACGGGGACCCUUCAAAACGCUUUGUAAUACCUGUAAUCGUCUGAUAUAACAAGCAAAAAUCAAAACUUUCAACAACGGAUCUCUUGGUUCUG